ensembl:snRNA U6 U6 spliceosomal RNA
GUGCUUGCUUCAGCAGCACAUAUAGUAAAAUUGGAACGAUACAGAGAAGAUUAGCAUGGCCCCUGCAGAAGGAUGACAUGCAAAUUCGUGAAGCAUUCCAUAUUUUU